GCUUGUCUCAAGACUAAGCCAUGCAUGUCUAAGUAUAAACGCUUCUAUACUGUGAAACUGCGAAUGGCUCAUUAAAUCAGUUAUAGUUUAUUUGAUGGUUCCUACUACAUGGAUAACCGUGGUAAUUCUAGAGCUAAUACAUGCAGAAAGUCCCGACUUCUGGAAGGGAUGUAUUUAUUAGAUCCAAAACCGGCGCGGGUCUUCGGGCCCGGUUGCUUGGUGAUUCAUGAUAACUGCUCGAACCGUAUGGCCUUUGUGCCGACGGUGCUUCAUUCAAAUUUCUGCCCUAUCAACUUUCGAUGGUACGGUAGUGGCCUACCAUGGUUGCAACGGGUGACGGAGAAUUAGGGUUCGAUUCCGGAGAGGGAGCCUGAGAAACGGCUACCACAUCCAAGGAAGGCAGCAGGCGCGCAAAUUACCCAAUCCCGACUCGGGGAGGUAGUGACAAUAAAUAACAAUGCCGGGCUUUCUUAGUCUGGCAAUUGGAAUGAGUACAAUCUAAACCCCUUAACGAGGAACAAUUGGAGGGCAAGUCUGGUGCCAGCAGCCGCGGUAAUUCCAGCUCCAAUAGCGUAUAUUAAAGUUGUUGCAGUUAAAAAGCUCGUAGUUGGAUUUCGGGGCAGCCUGGCUGGUCCGCCGCAAGGCGAGUACUGGUCAGCCGCCCUUCCUCUCGAAAGCCCCGACUGCUCUUUAUUGUAGUGGUCGGGUAGUUCGGGACGUUUACUUUGAAAAAAUUAGAGUGUUCAAGGCAGGCCUACGCCUGAAUACAUUAGCAUGGAAUAAUGGAAGAGGACCUCGGUCCUAUUUUGUUGGUUUCCAGGGCCGAAGUAAUGAUUAAGAGGGACAGUUGGGGGCAUUCGUAUUUAAUUGUCAGAGGUGAAAUUCUCGGAUUUAUGAAAGACGAACAACUGCGAAAGCAUUUGCCAAGGAUGUUUUCAUUAAUCAAGAACGAAAGUUAGGGGUUCGA
rnacentral:rRNA from 1 species